rnacentral:rRNA from 1 species
CGACCCCAGGUCAGGCGGGACUACCCCGCUGAGUUUAA